AAAUGUUGUCUCUCUUGAGUGGAUCCUGAGUACGACGGAGCACGUGAAAUUCCGUCGGAAUCUGGGAGGACCAUCUCCUAAGGCUAAAUACUCUCUAGUGACCGAUAGUGAACCAGUACCGUGAGGGAAAGGUGAAAAGCACCCCGGAAGGGGAGUGAAAUAGAACCUGAAACCGUGUGCUUACAAGUAGUCAGAGCCCGUUAAUGGGUGAUGGCGUGCCUUUUGUAGAAUGAACCGGCGAGUUACGAUUUGAUGCAAGGUUAAGCAGUAAAUGUGGAGCCGUAGCGAAAGCGAGUCUGAAUAGGGCGUUUAGUAUUUGGUCGUAGACCCGAAACCAGGUGAUCUACCCUUGGUCAGGUUGAAGUUCAGGUAACACUGAAUGGAGGACCGAACCGACUUACGUUGAAAAGUGAGCGGAUGAACUGAGGGUAGCGGAGAAAUUCCAAUCGAACCUGGAGAUAGCUGGUUCUCUCCGAAAUAGCUUUAGGGCUAGCCUCAAGUGAUGAUUAUUGGAGGUAGAGCACUGUUUGGACGAGGGGCCCCUCUCGGGUUACCGAAUUCAGACAAACUCCGAAUGCCAAUUAAUUUAACUUGGGAGUCAGAACAUGGGUGAUAAGGUCCGUGUUCGAAAGGGAAACAGCCCAGACCACCAGCUAAGGUCCCAAAAUAUAUGUUAAGUGGAAAAGGAUGUGGCGUUGCCCAGACAACUAGGAUGUUGGCUUAGAAGCAGCCAUCAUUUAAAGAGUGCGUAAUAGCUCACUAGUCGAGUGACACUGCGCCGAAAAUGUACCGGGGCUAAACAUAUUACCGAAGCUGUGGAUUGUCCUUUGGACAAUGGUAGGAGAGCGUUCUAAGGGCGUUGAAGCAUGAUCGUAAGGACAUGUGGAGCGCUUAGAAGUGAGAAUGCCGGUGUGAGUAGCGAAAGACGGGUGAGAAUCCCGUCCACCGAUUGACUAAGGUUUCCAGAGGAAGGCUCGUCCGCUCUGGGUUAGUCGGGUCCUAAGCUGAGGCCGACAGGCGUAGGCGAUGGAUAACAGGUUGAUAUUCCUGUACCACCUAUAAUCGUUUUAAUCGAUGGGGGGACGCAGUAGGAUAGGCGAAGCGUGCGAUUGGAUUGCACGUCUAAGCAGUAAGGCUGAGUAUUAGGCAAAU
rnacentral:rRNA from 1 species